rnacentral:rRNA from 1 species
GUAGGUGGCAAGCGUUGUCCGGAAUUAUUGGGCGUAAAGCGCGCGCAGGCGGUUCUUUAAGUCUGAUGUGAAAGCCCACGGCUCAACCGUGGAGGGUCAUUGGAAACUGGAGAACUUGAGUACAGAAGAGGAAAGCGGAAUUCCACGUGUAGCGGUGAAAUGCGUAGAGAUGUGGAGGAACGCCAGUGGCGAAGGCGGCUUUCUGGUCUGUAACUGACGCUGAGGCGCGAAAGCGUGGGGAGCAAACAGGGAUUAGAUACCCUGGUAGUCCACGCCGUAAACGAUGAGUGCUAAGUGUUAGGGGGUUUCCCGCCCCUUAGUGCUGCAGCUAACGCAUUAAGCACUCCGCCUGGGGAGUACGGCCGCAAGGCUG